AGCAUGCCCUGUAUUUCAGAAAAUGGUUCUAGUUUACUGAAUGGGUAGACGGAUUACGGAUAUGAAAUUUAUACCAAUGAAUUCUGUUUCACUUACUGAUAAUUGUACAAUAAUUUUUUAUUGGGGGCGGGCGUUACUUUUCAUGUAAUUGCAAUUUAAAAUAUGUCUUAUUUUUAAAAAUCGCCGCCAUUUUCCGCCAUUAUAUACCAUGAAACAACAAGAAACGACAGGAAUGACAACCGUUUUAUAAACGCAAGAAGGAGAAUCCUAACAGUGUUGCCAUAGUUAUAUAAAAUAUGUUUUCUUAUGAAAAUUACAAUUUUUCAAUUCUUAAAUAUGUCAUUUUACUUAUUCUGACGCAUUUUUAACACAAAAUGACUGCUUUAUUACAAGGGUCAGGUUAGUUCUGGUUAGGUUUCGUUACGUUAGGUUAGAUUACAUCAAGUUUAUUAAUAUUAUAGUGAUUUAUGAUUAUAUUUUAAUAAAUUAAUUCUGUGGGAUUCCCAGAAUACACUUUCAAGGUUGGAAUGAAAUUUUAUGUAUUUCAUGGUUAUGUACUGUCACUGAUUUCGGGAAACCAUGUUGCCAUGUGAAUGACAAAAGAUAAUUUCACAUGAAAACAUCGAUUUUUGUCCAUUUAAGCGUACCAUUGAUUUGGAAUAUUUAUGCAAACCUCUAAAUUUGGCAACUGUUUUUGAAAAAUUGGUAGAUGCAUGCAUUGACGCAUUUUUUAAACAGUUUAUUGUUAGUUUUUAGUUUGUUAGGUCGGUUGUUUGUGCUGCGCCCUGGAUUUGGGCGUUGUCUGUUGCAUCAUAUACAAAUUUGUGAAAGUGAAGUUAGUUUAUCGGGUGGGUUGUGAUUGCGCUCAGCGGUCAAAUACCUCCUGCGGUUCUCUCAAUAUAAUACCCGUAAGUUAGGUUUGGACCGAAGGGUUAGGCCUUCCUCCUUUCAGACCGCCUGCGCCCAAUUGCAAUCUGCCCAGUUUAUCGUUAAAUAAAGGUGAAGUGAGACUAAAUGGUGUGUAGGUGUUACGAAAGUAAAUUUAAGUACAAUUAAGGUGUGGCUUUAAUACCUAUAUUCACAAAGAAAAGGCCUCUUUCGAAGCUAGUAAACUGCAGGCAGAGGAAAUAAAUAUGUUGGUGGCAACUUUUAUUACAUUUAAAGCCACGAAUUUGGCUUUGGACUCUCAAAUUGCAUCGAUCUAUAGCUGUUUUCUUUCCAGAAGAUCCUGCGAAGAAGACAUGAAGUAUAGAUCAGAUUUGUUAAUAGAGGAGUAUGUUCAAAACACUUUUUAGAAAAAGAUAUUGACAGAACUUCACUUUCAUCUGUUCGUUUGAGAGACUGUGCUGUUCCAAUAGCUUAUGUCACACAGAAUCAGCUGAGAGAAGUGGUCUACAAAAAACCAGAAAGGAAACGGAAUAUGUGGCUACGAAAAGCAAAAGAAAGGUUUACAAAGCAAAUGUGACACAUUUUUUUAUAAUAUUUAGGAAUGUCAGCAAAUUACAUUAAAAAAUGUAUGUAAAGAUUUUUUGCAAUAAAAAUGUUUAUAUUUA